GACGAACGCUGGCGGCGUGCUUAACACAUGCAAGUCGAACGGAAAGGCCUCUUUCGGGGGGGACUCGAGUGGCGAACGGGUGAGUAACACGUGAGUAACCUGCCCGUGACUUUGGGAUAACUUCAGGAAACUGGGGCUAAUACCCAUUAGUAGCUCCUGCUGCAUGGUGGGGGUUGGAAACUUUCCGCGGUUGGGUAUGGACUCGCGGCUUAUCGGCUUGUUGGGGGGGAAGUGCCUUACCAGGGCCUUGACGGGUAGCCGGCCUGAGAGGGUGACCGGCCACGUUGGCACCGAGCUUCGGCACAGACCCCUACGAGCGGCCGUUGUGGGGAAUAUUGAACCAUCGGUGGAAGCCUUAUGCAGCCGCUCAGCGUGCGGGAUGCCGCCCUUCGGGGUGAGCACCGCUUUCGCUUCUAAAGAAGCUUUGUGUGACGUUACUGGGUAAAGAAGCACCGGCUAACUACGUG
rnacentral:rRNA from 1 species